CACAGGUUUGAUCCCCACCUCCAGCUGUAGUACCCUUGAGCAAGGUACUUAUCCUAAAUUGCUCAGUAAAAUUACCCAGAUCGUGUAUAAAUGGGUAAAUAAUUGUAAGUUGUCAAUGAAUGAUUAAAUGUAUCAAUAUAUGUGCGUGAAAGUGUCACUGGGUUCUGGAGAAAAAAGGCUCACAUUAGGCUAAUUAGUGACCACAGGUACGUGUAAACAUGAUGAUGUACCCGUAAAUAAGAAAGAGCUACACUGCAGACACUGUAAAGAGGGUGAGCGGAAGCUGCUCUUCAAUCUAACGAUGAUGAUGAUGAUGAUGGAGGCAGGAAGGGCCGCAGCUCGGCUCUCAGCUCGGGUGCGAGGGACGCAGAAGAGGCGGCGCCGGAUAAGGCUGCGCGCGGAUGUGGUGAGAGGGGCGAGUGACUCCGUUUCGCCUCGCCUCGCUUCGCCUCGUGCUGCUCCCAGCCAAUCCCCCGCAGAGCUCGGAGCGCGAGCCGGACGGACGGAGUGAUGCGCGGCUGCGGCGCGAGGACACCCCGCUGAAGGCAUGUUGGUGGUCCUGAGCCAGCAGGGAGCCAUCUUGGUGGUCACAUCGCUCCUGUCCAUGGGGGUCCUGCUCAUCGUGUGUCUGCGGUGCCGAAAGAGAUCCAAGAUCAUCCAGGAGGAGAACCACCUGUACGAUCCACAGCACUUGAGCAGCGAGGGCCGGACCAUCAAGGUGACACGAUCCAAAAGAGUGACUAAUUUGAACCAGUUCAGUGGCCCUACGAACCCAGAGACGAGCUCCUUGCCAACCUGCGCUGCAGCACCUGUAGCUGCUGAAGAUCAGUUUGGAUAUCAAAAUGUUGCAUUUCAUAACGGCAGCCCCACGUACGUAGACCCCAUUGCUACGCUGCUCUACCAGAAUUUACCGGAGCCCUCGAAAGAUUCAGGUAAGUCCCUCUGCCUGCUGUGUUCAGUACAGUAUUUUACUACAUUCACAGUAUUGCUACCACGUUCCCUGAGAGUCACGCUAUAGCAUCAGCCUUCAGUCUGAAACCUUCAUUAGUACAGCUCAGUGUCUGUUUACUGGCCAUCUGGCUCCGUGUUGCUCCUCA
rnacentral:lncRNA from 1 species